rnacentral:rRNA from 1 species
UGGAAGUAAAAGUCGUAACAAGGUCUCCGUUGGUGAACCAGCGGAGGGAUCAUUACAAGAGUUUCAUACUCCAAACCCAAUGUGAAUCUACCUGUAGUUUGCUUUGGCAGGCGGUCCCGGGGGGACUAGCUGCCCGGCCUUCGGGUUGGGUGCCUGCCAAAGAACUGCCAAACUCUGUUAUAUUUGCUGUCUGAGCACUAUAUCCGUCCGAAAGGAUAGGAGAAAAUGAAUCAAAACUUUCAACAACGGAUCUCUUGGUUCUGGCACCGAUGAAGAACGCAGCGAAAUGCGAUAAGUAAUGUGAAUUGCAGAAUUCCGCGAAUCAUCGAAUCUUUGAACGCACAUUGCGCCCGCUAGUACUCUAGCGGGCAUGCCUGUUCGAGCGUCAUUUCGACCAUCAAGCCUUAAUUGCUUGUGUUGGAGCACUACAACGUUUGUUAUAGGCUCUGAAAUUCAGCGGCGGACUUACUGAGAUUCCGAGCGCAGUAGUUUUCCACUCGCUUAGGGUAUCCAGUAAGUGAUUCUAGCCGUUAAACCCCCCAAACUUUUACA